AAUGUCCCUGAAGGUAAAGUUUCCUCUCUCUCCUGUCAUGGUGUCAUCAGUCCUGUGUUGUAUAUGUAGUGAGAUAGAGACAUGUGUAAUGUUCCUGAAGGUAACGUUUCCUCUCUCUCCUGUCAUGGUGUCAUCAGUCCUGUGUUGUAUAUGUAGUGAGACAGAGACAUGUGUAAUGUUCCUGAAGGUAACGUUUCCUCUCUCUCCUGUCAUGGUGUCAUCAGUCCUGUGUUGUAUAUGUAGUGAGACAGAGAAUGUGUAAUGUCCCUGAAGGUAACGUUUCCUCUCUCUCCUGUCAUGGUGUCAUCAGUCCUGUGUUGUAUAUGUAGUGAGACAGAGAAAUGUGUAAUGUUCCUGAAGGUAACGUUUCCUCUCUCUCCUGUCAUGGUGUCAUCAGUCCUGUGUUGUAUAUGUAGUGAGACAGAGAAAUGUGUAAUGUUCCUGAAGGUAACGUUUCCUCUCUCUCCUGUCAUGGUGUCAUCAGUCCUGUGUUGUAUAUGUAGUGAGACAGAGAAAUGUGUAAUGUUCCUGAAGGUAACGUUUCCUCUCUCUCCUGUCAUGGUGUCAUCAGUCCUGUGUUGUAUAUGUAGUGAGACAGAGAAAUGUGUAAUGUCCCUGAAGGUAACGUUUCCUCUCUCACCUGUCAUGGUGUCAUCAGUCCUGUGUUGUAUAUGUAGUGAGACAGAGACAUGUGUAAUGUCCCUGAAGGUAACGUUUCCUCUCUCUACUGUCAUGGUGUCAUCAGUCCUGUGUUGUAUAUGUAGUGAGACAGAGAAAUGUGUAAUGUCCCUGAAGGUGACGUUUCCUCUCUCCCUGUCAUGGUGUCAUCAGUCCUGUGUUGUAUAUGUAGUGAGACAGAGAAAUGUGUAAUGUCCCUGAAGGUAACGUUUCCUCUCUCUCCUGUCAUGGUGUCAUCAGUCCUGUGUUGUAUAUGUAGUGAGACAGAGACAUGUGUAAUGUCCCUGAAGGUAACGUUUCCUCUCUCACCUGUCAUGGUGUCAUCAGUCCUGUGUUGUAUAUGUAAUGAGUACAGAGAAAUGUGUAAUAAUCCUGAAGGUAACGUUUCUUCUCUCCUGUCAUGGUGUCAUCAGUCCUGUGUUGUAUAUGUAUUGAGUUGAGAGACAUGUGUAAUGUCCCUGAAGGUAACGUUUCCUCUCUCUCCUGUCAUGGUGUCAUCAGUCCUGUGUUGUAUAUGUAGUGAGACAGAGACAUGUGUAAUGUCCCUGAAGGUAACGUUUCCUCUCUCUCUUUUCAUGGUGUCAUCAGUCCUGUGUUGUAUAUGCAGUGAGACAGAGAAAUGUGUAAUGUCCCUAAAGGUAACGUUUUCUCUCUCUCCUGUCAUGGUGUCAUCAGUCCUGUGUUGUAUAUGUAGUGAGACAGAGAAAUGUGUAAUGUCCCUAAAGGUAACGUUUCCUCUCUCACCUGUCAUGGUGUCAUCAGUCCUGUGUUGUAUAUGUAGGGAGACAGAGAAAUGUGUAAUGACCCUGAAGGUGACGUUUCCUCUCCCCUGUCAUGAUGUCAUCAGUCCUGUGUUGUAUAUGUAGUGAGACAGAGACAUGUGUAAUGUCCCUGAAGGUAACGUUUCCU
ensembl:lncRNA